rnacentral:rRNA from 1 species
GACGAACGCUGGCGGCGUGCUUAACACAUGCAAGUCGAACGGAAAGGCCCUGCUUUUGUGGGGUGCCCGAGUGGCGAACGGGUGAGUAACACGUGAGCAACCUGCCCUUGACUUUGGGAUAACUUCAGGAAACUGGGGCUAAUACCGGACAGGAUCCCCUGCUGCAUGGUGGGGGUUGGAAAGUCUCGGCGGUUGGGGAUGGAUUGGCGGCUUAUGAGCUUGUUGGUGGGGUAGUGGCUUACCAAGUCUUUGACGGAUACCCGGCCUGGGAGGGUGGCCGGGCACAUUGCGACUGAGGUACGGAGCAGACUCCUACGGGAGGCAGCGGUGGGGAGUAUGACACAGUGAGCGCAAGCCGGAUGCAGCAACGCCGCGGGCGGGAUGACGGCCUUCGGGUUAUAAACCGCUUUCGCCUGUGACGAAGCGUGAGUGACGGUAAUGGGUAAAGAAGCACCGGCUAACUACGUG